AACGAACGCUGGCGGCAUGCCUAACACAUGCNAGUCGAACGAGACCUUCGGGUCUAGUGGCGCACGGGUGCGUAACGCGUGGGAAUCUGCCCUUGGGUUCGGGAUAACAGUUGGAAACGACUGCUAAUACCGGAUGAUGACUUCGGUCCAAAGAUUUAUCGCCCAGGGAUGAGCCCGCGUCGGAUUAGCUAGUUGGUGAGGUAAAGGCUCACCAAGGCGACGAUCCGUAGCUGGUCUGAGAGGAUGAUCAGCCACACUGGGACUGAGACACGGCCCAGACUCCUACGGGAGGCAGCAGUGGGGAAUAUUGGACAAUGGGCGAAAGCCUGAUCCAGCAAUGCCGCGUGAGUGAUGAAGGCCUUAGGGUUGUAAAGCUCUUUUACCCGGGAUGAUAAUGACAGUACCGGGAGAAUAAGCCCCGGCUAACUCCGUGCCAGCAGCCGCGGUAAU
rnacentral:rRNA from 1 species